rnacentral:rRNA from 1 species
UGUAGUUAACACCUGCAUUAUUUGUACGUUACCUACAGAAAGAAGCACCGGCUAACUCCGUGCCAGCAGCCGCGGUAAUACGGAGGGUGCGAGCGUUAAUCGGAAUUACUGGGCGUAAAGCGCAUGCAGGCGGCCUGUUAAGUCAGAUGUGAAAGCCCGGGGCUUAACCUCGGAAUUGCAUUUGAAACUGGCAGGCUAGAGUCUUGUAGAGGGGGGUAGGAAUUUCAGGUGUAGCGGUGAAAUGCGUAGAGAUCUGAAGGAAUACCAGUGGCGAAGGCGGCCCCCUGGACAAAGACUGACGCUCAGAUGCGAAAGCGUGGGGAGCAAACAGGAUUAGAUACCCUGGUAG